ACGAACGCUGGCGGCGUGCUUCACACAUGCAAGUCGAACGGUGAUGCUCCAGCUUGCUGGAGUGGAUCAGUGGCGAACGGGUGAGUAACACGUGAGCAACCUGCCCCAGACUCUGGAAUAAGCGCUGGAAACGGCGUCUAAUACUGGAUACGAAACUGGCCCGCAUGGGCAUGGUUUGGAAAGUUUUUCGGUUUGGGAUGGGCUCGCGGCCUAUCAGCUUGUUGGUGAGGUAAUGGCUCACCAAGGCGACGACGGGUAGCCGGCCUGAGAGGGCGACCGGCCACACUGGGACUGAGACACGGCCCAGACUCCUACGGGAGGCAGCAGUGGGGAAUAUUGCACAAUGGGCGAAAGCCUGAUGCAGCGACGCCGCGUGAGGGAUGACGGCCUUCGGGUUGUAAACCUCUUUCAGCAGGGAAGAAGCGAAAGUGACGGUACCUGCAGAAGAAGCACCGGCUAACUACGUG
rnacentral:rRNA from 1 species